UCUUAUGAAUGUGCAAAAAAAAGUGGUUUUUUGAGAUGGAAUCUACUCCUAGUGAAGACGCUAUGAA
rnacentral:pre_miRNA from 2 species